rnacentral:tRNA from 1 species
GGGCCCGUGGUGUAACGGGAACACGACUGCCUUGCACGCAGCCGACCAGGGUUCGACUCCCUGCGGGUCCA